CCCAGCAAUGAAUUGCUGGGCUAUUAUCAAGUGCCCCGCCGGGGCA
rnacentral:sRNA from 1 species